GACACCUCUGCCCGGAGCCUGGCCGUGGGGGGGAGGGGAGGUCGAGGGACGCGUGCUAUCUCCUGGUGAGGCGCACGCUCUCGUGGACCUCAGAAGGUCUCCAGGCAGAGUCCCUCCUCACAGACCUCUUCACCACGCUAGCUAGGGCUGCCCUCCCCGUUCCGCGUGACAGGUCGUCAGGUAGAGCAGAGAUCGCCAAACCCAGUUGGAGGACCAUUCCCGCUCUGGGAAAGGCUAUGUUAAGGGGCCCCGCAGCGGUCCGGCCGUCACCUAAGCCGCGCUCUGCUGCUCUCCAGAGCAGGUAGGCGUUUCUUAGGGAGGCAUUCGUAGUUGCUCUCCGCUUCCCACCUAGGGACUUUUGAACCCCGAGGUGACUCCCCACCGCCUGAAAUGGUGAAGCAUCUCAGCAGGCCGUCGGGCUGGAGUGCUCAAACCAGAAGGAAAAGGACAAAUCUUGGAAUGACAGUGCCUGUGUGAUUUCUGAGACAAAUCAAGUGUUGGAAUCUCUUGGCAAAACGACUCUAUGAUUCCCUGACAGACCCCUGUCUCACACACCCAGACCCUCCCUCAAGCUUAAAGCUGUAGGAAGAGCUUCAGUAUAAAAAUGCCGGAAAUUUCCAUGCAUUUCAGAAAGAGCUAAUUAACUUGCUGGGGAACACUGAAUAGCUAAAAGUAGAUUUGUGUCUGGAAUCGCCAUCCUGCUCUACAAUAAAAUCUGAGGAGGCCAAAAACUGCUCCAUUUCCUCUUUACACAGGAGUAACAAAGCCCAUUGUGUUUUGAGUUGACAACCUGAUUUAAGCCCCAGCAAUACCUCGUACCCCAAGUGGCUCAGCUGUAUGAGUUGCCACGUUUCAUUCUACCUCACACGUUGGUUCUGCCUUCCUUAAAGGUGCCGAAAUUGAGACAGUGCCCAGAAGACAACAGUCAAAAUGUGUAUGAAGUAGAAGACGUUGGAAGAUUAAUUUGAGGCUGGCUUCUCAGCAGUCUCCAUUUCACCAUGUCUGGGAGCCAGAAGUAUUUUUGAUAACUCAAAAGGCAAAACAGUCAAGGGUUAAUUUCAACAGUUGGAAGAAUCUAAACAACCACCCUGGCAACUGGAAUUCUCUCCAAAGCCUUACCCAUGAAUAGCCCUAGUCCUCUCCUGUUAAACAGGGGAUCUGAUUCCUACUGUUGGACCUCUGGCUUCUGUUUCCUCUGCCUUCUGUAAGAGUUUCUCCAGACUCAACUCAGAAGCUGCAAGCUCUCAAGAACAAGGACCAAGAUUGAUUCAACUUUGUGUCCUCAGCGCCAAGAGGAGUGUAUGGCAGGGACAGCAGUGGCUGCGGGGUGAACUCUGACAAGUCCUGCUCCCUUCCUGAACCUCAGGCUCCUCCUUCACCUUGACAUUAAAGGUCUGGAUGAGACAACCUCCUCCAAGGCUGCCUCCAGCUCUUCCUCUGAGCCAGUGACUUCCUGGAUCUCUCGUGCUCCUAUGAGGACCAAGCCUUGGGCAGGGGUCAGGAGUACAUCUGAAUCCUCCACUUCCUCUGGACCAGUUGAGAGAGGCAACUGUACAAGGUUGCUGGGAACCUCAAGCAGGGCCUGGCAUUUGCCUCUCCUUGGAACUGCUCCUCCGGGUUCCUGAGUUUGCAGUGGUUUCCCAGGAACACUAGGUAAAUAUCUCCAUUGUUUGCUGAGUAACCAGCUCCAGGAACAAGACAAGGGUCCCCGUAUGGGUUUGCCUCAAGGUUAGCUCCUGUUUUAUCCAUGUCCAGCUCCCUCCAGCACCACCUCACACAGGUAGCCUCAACAAGGUCCCCUCUCAGGGCCUCGCCACAGGCUCUGAACCCCACUGACUGGGUGGCUUUGGUAUGCACCAUGUAGCUUAGGGCUCAAUAUCUUUUUUGAAGAAAAUCUGCUUCUCCCAGCCACCUCCCAAAUAAAGCACGGAGCAUGUUUGGUACCUGUCUGCCCCCCAAAAGGCCAGACAUGGGUUGUUGCCCUCCAAUGUCCUAAACAGUCUGAUUAACCUUUGAAAAUGUCCUUGGUUGAUGUGAACCCCAACCAUGAGGAAGCUGGAGGUGCUGGGCUGAUGUAUGUGUUAAGCUACUUCAUGAUUUUUUUCCUUGAGUCAAGGUUGUGCUGUAUUGUCCAGACUGUUCUCAAACUCGUGAACUAAAGUGAUCCUCCCUCCUGCCUUCUGAGUCCUGGGACUACAUGUGGUGCAUGUAGUUUUCUUUGUGUUUAUAGUGUCGCUCUAUAAGUUCCACUUGCCACACCCCUGCCCCUUAUCUUCAGGAAGCAGGAAUGUGUUCCCGGACUGACUUCUGUCUAGUUCAUUGCAGGUUUAUUGCUUCACUCAAACCUCAUGUGUCUCAGGUUUUCUGCCCCUCUCCCAGAGUUCCUCCGCAAACUCCUUUGUGCAUACCCAGGUUUAGACAUCCCCUUGUAGGUAGUUCAUUAAUUGACUUCUCAAAACCUCCAACUCAAGAAUACUCCAACGCUAUGACCUGGGAUUUGGUGAUGCCACCAUUCUGGAUUCCUAAGCUUCUGAAACUCAGAUUCUACCAUGCUACAAUUCUAUGAUGCCAAGAUUCCAUGACUGUGGACUCUAUGUAUCUAGAAUUUCAUAAUCUUUUAUUGUUUAAUGAAUUUUGUCAUUGACAUUGUAACAUCGCCCUGGGUUUGUGUUUUCUAAAAGUUGCAAAUCUCAGCGCUGGGCUCACUUCUCUGGGUCAGCUGAAGCAGAGGAAAGAGGGGGCUGAGUAGGAGAUGGAUUCCACU